GAUGAACGCUGGCGGCGUGCCUAAUACAUGCCAGUCGAGCGAACGGACGAGAAGCUUGCUUGUCUGAUGUUAGCGGCGGACGGGUGAGUAACACGUGGAUAACCUACCUAUAAGACUGGGAUAACUUCGGGAAACCGGAGCUAAUACCGGAUAAUAUUUUGAACCGCAGGGUUCAAAAGUGAAAGACGGUCUUGCGGUCACUUAUAGAUGGAUCCGCGCUGCAUUAGCUAGUUGGUAAGGUAACGGCUUACCAAGGCAACGAUGCAUAGCCGACCUGAGAGGGUGAUCGGCCACACUGGAACUGAGACACGGUCCUGACUCCUACGGGAGGCAGCAGUAGGGAAUCUUACGCAAUGGGCGAAAGCCUGACGGAGCAACGCCGAGUGAGUGAUGAAGGUCUUCGGAUCGUAAAACUCUGUUAUUAGGGAAGAACAUAUGUGUAAGUAACUGUGCACAUCUUGACGGUACCUAAUCAGAAAGCCACGGCUAACUACGUG
rnacentral:rRNA from 1 species